rnacentral:rRNA from 1 species
CAGCAGCCACGGUAAUACGUAGGUGGCAAGCGUUGUCCGGAAUUAUUGGGCGUAAAGGGCUCGCAGGCGGUUUCUUAAGUCUGAUGUGAAAGCCCCCGGCUCAACCGGGGAGGGUCAUUGGAAACUGGGAAAUUUGAGUGCAGAAGAGGAGAGUGGAAUUCCACGUGUAGCGGUGAAAUGCGUAGAGAUGUGGAGGAACACCAGUGGCGAAGGCGACUCUCUGGUCUGUAACUGACGCUGAGGAGCGAAAGCGUGGGGAGCGAACAGGAUUAGAUACCCCUGUAGUCCCUGUCUCUUAUAC